GUUCUUUUAUUUUAUUGAGUAAACGGCGAGGAGGCGGACGGGGGAAGAAAAGGGCACGCGGUGAGAGAGAGAGAGAGAGAAGGAGGGGAAGAGAGAAAGAGAGAGACGCGCCGUGAUGUUAGGCAGGGGCGGGGAGGAAGCUUGUCGCAGCCGGCCCCAGGUAAAUGGAGGAACCUGACAGUUGAGAGGAGGAGGAGGAGGCGGCGACCAAGGUGAAAUGGCGGCGGCAGCACCAAUGGCGGCACAAUGAGGCGACGCCUGUAAACCGGGUUAAACUCCGGACUGUCCCACCUGGCAGGAGCUUGGCAGUGAUGUGAUUACCAUACACACCAUACACGCAGAUAUAAUGGUGUCAGAAUGCAGUUCAGAAAACAUAUACGCAGAGAUCUCAGAAAUUAAUACAGUAGUCCUCAACUUACGACCACAAUUGAACCCAAAUUUUCUGUUGCAAAACGAGUUAUUUGUUAAUAAGCUGUGCAGGAAAAUGCUAUGAAAAGAAACACUGGAUGAAUGAAUGAAAAGCCCUGCUUUUCCACCCUUCAGCAUGGCAGGACUACAACUCAUGACCCCAGCUUCUUCUCCAAUGGGUCCUUUUUUUGGACUACCAUGGCAACAAGAAGCAAUUCAUGAUAACAUUUACACACCAAGAAAAUA